ensembl:miRNA
GUGUGUGUAUGUGUGUGUGUGUGAGAGAGAGAGAGAGAUAGACACACACAUACACACACACACACACACACACACACACACACACACA